CUUGCCUUGAAUUUCAUUUUUUUGGUUUUUUUUUUGGUAUGACAUUGUGUUUCUUGGGAAGGAACAAAAGAAAAGUUUGCUUGAAUAUGACUAUCAGAUCAUGCACAAAAUUGGGUUUUGUUUUUAGGACAGGCAUCUCACUAUGAAUGUUUGUGUCGGCCACUGUGAUGAACAAUAUGUAAAAGAGUCCUUUUAUCACCUUUUCUUAAGGUGGAAAGUCUUGUGGAAUAGCUGAAGCUUAAUUUGCAGCAUUCUGGACUUUUGCACCCUUGUGGCGUCUGUAAUUUGCUUUUGCUUCAUUUGUGUGUCCAAUAUCAAUGUUGAAAUCUUAAAUGGCUCCUCAAUAAUUGAGGAUAUUGUGGGCGCUCCUGAGCCCUGUUAUUGAUGAAAGAAUGAACAAAAUUUUUUGGAAGAUUAAAGUUAGAUUACUAUUUAAUAACUGGUCCACGUACCAAAAGAAAAUAGGCUGGUGUUUGAGUGACCUAGCUUUUUGCUAAUUCAUGGUUAGUUGCUGAUACCCUAAAUUUCUACUGGAAUAUAUUUUUUUUAAUAGAUUCUACUUGUGUUUGAGAGAUAUCUAUUCUGGGCUUCUUUGGCUACUAUUUGCCACAUGUACCUAGAGAGAUAGAUGCAUUGGAUUUUGUUGUGCACAAUCUGGUGGGUCUGCACAAGUUUUUGAGAUCUUCAGCAUUUGCUGCACGUGUUCUUCUUUACCAUGAGUAGAUCACUGGAUGCGUCAAAUCAAUAAACUGGACAAGUUCUAGUUAUUUUUUAAUUAUGUGCAGAUGUAUCAGACACUUCUACUCUGUGGCUGGCCCAAUUUUUUUCCAUUUUCUGACAUUAAUUAGGACAAUCUGUAUAAGCUUGCCCCUUUGAGUCAUAUUAUUUCUCUUCCAAAGUAUUUUGAGUUUUAAGGAUCCUUUUUGUUAUUUGAUUAAACUUUAAGGCCUGAUUCAUAGAUUGGCUGAACCACAGGGUAGGUAAAUGUAAUUAACCUAAUUUUAUAUUCCUAAAUUUAAGGUCCUCUGUUUAUCAUUCGAGUCCCAAUUUCGAAACUACACAUUCGAUACUCUUCGGUUCUUUCCAGUAUCCAUGGCUAAAUCUACUAGCAGUAGCAGAAGAAAGCGCCAUACAAAAGAAGAUGAAGAGAAAUACGACGACGCUUCAACAUCAUCACCUCAAUCCUCUUCUUCCGAAGAGGAUGAUGAUAAUAAGCGAAGCCACAAAUGCUGCCGUGGCGACGAUAGGGGUCCUAGGAAAUCCUCUUCGAGGAAAGACAGAAAAUCAUCCAGUAGGAGGAAAAGAAAGGAAAAGGAACGGAGAAGUAAGCACAAAUCGAAGGAGUAUGAGAGGAGAAAGAAGGAUAAAUAUUAUUUGGAUGAGUCCGAAGUGGCAGAGUCGUUGCCUAGGUCAGAUGGGGAUGAUGAUGAUUCUGGAUUGGAGAAUCCGGAGGACGUUGUCAAAUGUAUUUUGAAGGAGUUUCCUGCUGUCUCCAGAGAUUUGGAACAGGUAUAGCGGUUAUCUAUUUGUUUACUUAUUAGUUGAAGUUUUGUUGAAAUUUGUAUAUUGAACUGUUGAAUAUUUGGGCAAUUUGUAUUGGUUAACGGUAUCAAUUGUGAACAUCUACUACUUUAUGUGCCAAAUUUACCCUUUUCAUUUGUUUUGUACAAAUGCUGUUUACUAUGAUUGAUCUGUGCUAAAACAAUCGCAUCUGUUUUGUAAAUUUUGUGUUGAACCGCCCCCUCUUAGGAAGUGUUCCAUAUAAUGGCUUACUGGAAAAGUUUUAUUUUGUGUUGAAGUGCCACCCUUUUGAGAAAUGUUCAUGUAAUGGGUUAGGAUAAAGGUUCUAGUGAAUGAUACUAAAUUUAUUGCAAAAUACUGUGUUUCCAGCUUCUACACAUGAUAGAUGAUGGUCAAGCAGUUGAUAUAAGGGGAUUGUCAGAAAAAACAUUGGUGAAGCACCUGAGAAGGCUAUUUCUAUGUCUGAACCUUAAAGAAACUGGUGAUAAUAUCUUUCUACUGAAAUCAGAGGGCCAUCCUACAUUGGAGGUUUGUAGACCUGUCAUUCAUGGCUAUGGACAGUCUUCAAAGCAGCAGCUUGAUCAUUGUACAUUGGAGAACGAAUUGCUCUCGGUAUCACCAGAUGGCAGAAAUGGACCAGAUGCCAACAUGACUAAAUCAUCUGAAGGUGCCAUUGGUCCUAGACGAAGGUAUCUCGAUAUCCUUGCUAUAUAUCUUAACUAUCCAACUUUCCUUUUUAUUUUUGUGUAACAAAUUCUGCAGCAUAUCCAAUGUGCUGCUUUCUUGGUAUAUUUGAACAAGCAUUCGGAAAUGGUUAUGGUCCUAUUUUCUUUGCUUAAUCAAAUAAAUAUUUUUUUUGAGUUAUGUGAUGUUAUAUGCAGCGUGAUGUUAACUUACUAUGCUGUAUUAUUGUUACUUUCAAAACUUUUUUGUUUUGAGUUGUCCUUCAGUUUGGUGUGCCUGCUUUGAUAUGCAUUGAAAAGUUUGAAAAGCAUACUCUCUAUAAGUGCAAAAUAAAUUUCAUCUUUUUGGUACAAUUCUUGUUUCUUUAAGUUUCUGAAUCCAUUGUUUUCAAAUUUGUUUGUUCUUUUAGGGUAAUUGGCCCUGAAAUGCCAUCUGCUGAACUACUUGCAGCUGCAGCCAAAUUAACUGAAGCAGAAGCUGAGUUGAGGUAUUGCUGAAUUUUAUAAUUUUAAGAGUUAAUGGCUGCAUUUGUAUUCUGUAGAAGGAUUUUCCUUGUGGAAGUCAAGCUUUUAGGCAUUUUUUGCCAUCUUACGGUGAACUUCUGAAGCUACUAACAUUGCUAACUUAUUUAUGUUUAUUGAUGGUUGAAAUUAGAGAGGCUGAGUUAGUGGACGAUUCUGAAUUGUUUAUAGGGCCUCCUCCCGCCGCUUUUGUUUCUGAAGUUGAAUCAUCAAAUGAAGCAGAACGAUUUGAAGAGGUACCUUUUUGUAUAUAUUUCACUCCAUAUACCUUUUUUUAUAUAUUUCACUCCAUAUACAUAUUUAUUUGUCACCAUUAACAGAUUUUAAUUCUUCCCCUUGUUUCAUCAUCCCAUAGUCUCUUUAUUUUGUACUUUUUUUUAUGGCAGUUUUUGUUUGGUUUGUAUGCUUCUGUUUUAGGGCAUUCUAAAGACCUUUUGCUAGUUCCAUCACAAGGAUACAAAUUCUUCACGCUUGUGCUGUUUUUUUAGGUUUCUUAUGCAUGUUGCUCUUAUUAUCAUACCAUGCAAUAAACAUUACCUCAUGUCAUGAGUUUUUUUGUAACAUUGCUAUGUUACGUAGGUUCGAUAAGUUUUUAUGACCCAUGAUCAAAUUGAGUAUGUCAAACUUGUUGACCACUACACAUAUCUAUUUUUGUAGGUUGAGUAUAGAGCUUUUAAGCACUUGUCACAGUAUAUUUUACCAACAGAAAAGGGUUCUGUUAUCAACAACUUGAAUUAUAGUCUCUUAACUGCACAGGGUGUAAAAAAUGCAUGGUAGAAUAUAUGUAGAGAUUGAUAGCUGCUGAUUGAAAAUGUACAUAUGGGUCUUUCUUUAGUCCAUCUUGUGGAAGCUUUGCAAAUGAUGAUUUCCUUUGGUUUCCCCUUUAUGGUGUCUGUUUUGGCUAAGAACAGUGUACCUGCACAUUGCAUUUUUCAGAACCUUGAAAAUAAUACUAAUAUGCAAGUAUUCUAAGCACAUUAUAAAGCUUGAAGAGCUUCUAAAGAUAUUUAGUGCAGUCUCUCUCUCUCUUCCUCCCUCCAUCUCUCUCUCUCUCUCUCUCUUUCUCUCCCCCCUCCCUGUCUCCCUUUCUAUCUCUGCAUUCAUUAUUGGUAUGACUUUUUUUAAUGCGAAAAGAGUCAAAAAUUUAUUGUCAUGUGGAUAGUGCAGCUCUUUUAUGCUUUAGCUGCUGCAUAUUGCAUGUAACAAAGAUAUAGGUUUAAUAUAGUAGAAUGUAUGUUUGCAGGAAUUUUAUCUUUGUCGUGGCCAGUCUCCAUAAAAAUGGUGAUACAUAUUUACAGUGAGGGUGUUGAGGGCAUAAUGCAUUUGCUUACAUGCUGUCAUUGAAUCAGGGAUGCUAUCUCUUCAUUUCAAUUGUUAUUUCCAUUUGCCAGAUUACAAGAAUUAUGGGAGCUGAGGUGGAUAGUCCAUAUGAUAUUCUGGGAGUGAACAAGAAUAUGUCAGCCGAAAACAUGAAGAAAAGGUACCUUCUUGUCUGUAUUUUUAAAAUUUACCUUUAAAUGUGUUGUUUGGAUCUAUUGGAAUGCGACUGUUCAAUUUUCUGUGAAUGAUAUAAUCGUUAAGAAGCAGCAUUGAAAACUGUUGGUAGGCUGACAGUCAUUUUAGAUGCAUUGGCAGAAAAACUGAGGAAUAGAGUUCAACAAGACAUGAAUAGAAAAGUAAAGAGAAACCACAAGAAUUUAAGAUUGAUAAUGAGAACGACUCAGGAACUCUAGGAAUCUCUUCUAGGAAACUUUAGGCAUUGCUGCAUGAUUUUAUUAUGCAAUCCUCAAGAAAGACAUGAAGUCUACAAGAAUACUUUUGGUGUAAAAAAUUGUCUUAAUCCAUGAACUACAACAUUUUUGGACUCAACCAGUCUAUUUGUGAGACUAUAUACCAUGAUAUCUACUGUUGGUUCUGUUUCUAAAUGCAAAAGAAUUUCAGGUCAUGUGCUGUAGAUUGGUUAUGUGACUGUUGCUAUAGUUUAAUUUCAGGACUUGGGUUAAAUUUCCUUUUCUAGUUUGGUGCUUGAUCGUCUUGUUAGUAGUUUCCUUCGUUUAGUUACUUGCAAAUAGAAUUCCAAUCUGUUAGGCAAAAAAAAAAGUUCUUGCUUACAAGGGAAUGACUCAACCAGCAGGCAUAUAAAGUUUGUCUUAGGCAUGAACUCCCCUCCCCCCCCUUCUCCCUGCUUUUUUCCCCCUUAAGAAACCUAUAACUUUGACACGAUUGAUUUUUUUGAUUUGUUUUGUGCUUCCGCCUCAUCAAGACAACAACUUUCAGGAUGUGGAGAUAGUUAUCCUUGUUGAACUUAUCCUUUUAUGCAGAAAAUAUGGUAUUGCGAGGCAGUAUAAUUAUGCCUCUUGUAUAGAUCUUGGUAUGGGAGGUUCUCUUGACUUUUUUUUUCUUUUUUUUUUUGUUUUGUCGGGCGGGGAGGGUUGGAGGGGUUGCGGGGUGGGGUCUUGGUUUGCAUUUCUGCAAAUGCAUGCUGGAUUGUCCACUGCUAGAUGUCUGAGAUUGACAAAUUUGAUUGUUUUGACUUGUUUUAUAUGUCAACUGGUCUUCUUUUUCUCCUUGUAGGUACUGGAAAUUGUCCCUCAUGGUACAUCCGGACAAAUGCUCUCAUCCACAGGCCCACCAAGCAUUUGUGAAGUUGAACAAGGCUUUUAAAGACUUGCAGGAUCCAGAUAAAGUGAGUGUUGUACAAUAGUAGUGCUUCAAGAGAAUUUUAUUCUAUUACUUACUUUUUGGUACAUUCUACACGAUCUCUGUCUUUUCCUCUCACUCUUGCUCUCCAUGGCGUUCUACUUUAGCUAUGUGAUGAUUUUUCAGUGAUGUGGUUUUGAUGGAGCAUUUGGCCCAAAGUUUUCGUUGAAGGAAAAAUAAGGGGAACUAUUACGAAACUUAACUUUUUUUUUCUUGCACCUUGUAACACUCUUUUACUUGCUAGAAGUUUUGAUUUUUUCAGUCUGUCAUUUUGUUGAAUACAUCUAACUAAGCGCCUUUGCCAAUGAGUGAAAAUUUCAUUGACAGUAAUAGGGAUGAGAUAGCUGAUAAACGUCACUGGUUGCUUCUACUGUGUUUCAUAAGUUGUGCGAAUUAUUUUUGAGAAGAACCUUGCGUGUAUUUAUAUCUUUUUAUCUGAUGUAGUUUCAGGACUUUGUAUUUUCUACUGCAUGUAACUUUACGUGAAGAAGAUUUGAUAUUGUCUUUUGUUUCCACUUCAUCAUCUUUUUUAUAGCGAAAAGCAUUGGAUGAGAAAAUAAAGCUCAAAGAGGAACAAGAGGAAUUCAAGGUACAUUUUUUGCAGUGAUCUUGGCAAUGUCAAUGUACUUUCUCCUUUCCAAUCGUAUUAUUGAUAGAAAGGUUAUUAUCAAUACAGGCGGAAUUGAAAGCAAUGAAAGAAGCUGCACACUGGAGACGUUUGCAAGGUAAGUGUUUUUUAUUUUUUUUGUUUUUUGGGGAAUAUUAUGAUCACUGUUCUUUUUGGUCGCAUAAGAAAAUGUGCUGUCUGCCUCUCUUUCUCUCUGACAUGCAUAUUUGGUCGCCUCACACUUGUGGUGCCUUUACUAUUACAACAAGAAAAGAUGAUAAUUUCAAUCCAUUCCAGAAUUUGAAUAUAUUGGGUUUAUGUCCAGAACUACAUAUUUCAUCAGGGCAAGAGAACCAAUGUGCUUUGCUUUGUCUGACUGAAGGAUCACUGGCUCAAAGGAUGAUUAAAUGCAACAAAUAACACUUUUUUUUUUUAUAAUUAAAGAACUCCAAAUUGGAUCCCAAACUUUUGUUUGGGCUACCAUAUUCCUGCCUAAUGGAGGGACAGUUGGGGAGUGAUAAUGCUUUAGAAAAAUCAUUUAAGAAUAAUUGGACUAGUGAGACAUUACUGAUUCUGAAUUUCCUUGCACUUAAGAUUAAUUGAGGCUGCGCUACGUUUCGUUGACUCUAGUUUUUCCAGUACUAGUAGUUGAUACUUUAUAUUGUCUAAAAUCAAGUUAUGGUACACAAGGAUGGAGCUUGCUUCUAAGGCUCUCUAUGCCCUGUCUCAUCUUGCACGAUUCUAAGAUGUGUGACUAAAAGCUGAAGACUAAAGCUUAUUUAUGGCUGAGCUAUCUUUGCACAGACAUUUUUUCCAUAUAAUUACAAUUGAAUUUUGUUCUACUUACACUUUCACAUAGUCUAUUUGCCGCCAUGUAGCCUCUUUAUAGUAUGGCUUUCCAUCUUUUAGAAGCAUAAAAUGUUCGAGAGAAAGCUGAAGACUCAGGACAUGUGGUGGAUCGAUUUUAUUGUACAUUUUUCACCCUAGUAUUUCCUGCUGUAUGUCUUCUGUAUGCAAUUAUGUUAUGGUCGUGAAAAGGAAAUGCACCCUAAAAGGGCCUUUUUACGCUGUGACUCAUCUUUCACAAGGCUAAAAUGUUUUAGCAUUAGCUGAAGACUGAUACAAGAGUAUUUUCUCUUCUUUUAUGCUUCAGAUGUGCAAUUAUUAUGUCGCAGUUACUUCUAGUUGUUUGUUUUUCACUGUGUUGACCAAAUUUGAGAAUGAUUGUUGAUUAUUUUGUUGUAAAUCUAGUUACUGUGGAUAUUUGUUUGGUUACUGUCUUGCUUGUCUCAUCGUUAAGCUAUUGAUGGGAUGGAGAGUUGGAUUAAAGCCUUUCACAGUAUAUUUUGAAGGAAAUUAGUUUGUAAUACUAGCCUGCUUCUUGUUGCUGAAAGGAGGCACACUGGGCUGAUUUUGUGCAUGAAAACUUCAUAUAUCCAAGAAACAAAAUAUUUGUUUAUCAUUGCACACUGAAUUCUUAGAGCACUUAAACUGCAGGUAUAUCAAUGGAGGGUGAUGAUAUACUUUUAGCUGACAUGGAGGCUAAGGUGGAACCUAAAAGAGAUGAAUGGAUGACAACACUACCUCCUGAAAGAAAAGUAAGGACCUUUUUCUUCCCUCUUUAUAUUAUUAGCAUCAUUCCGGUUGAAUAUGUUCUCACUUUGAAUUUAUGAAAAGGUGGAGAAGAUAAGAAUCACGAAUAAUGCUGUACCUGCUUAAUAAAUAGACGCCUUAUAAUAGAGAAAUCACUAAGCAGGCCAAAGACAGCUUCUGAUGCAUGUUGAAGUCCUCAUAUUGGAAAUAGAGCUCAAACCAGUUUCAGUUUAAUAGAAUAACGUGUUAGUGCGAAUAAUGAUAAAAUAAGCUGAACAAUAGAUGACUUGGGCUUUUACACUGAAAGGGCUAAUGCCGGUAGUGGACUAGUGCUCUGGCACUGGGUUUAUGCUUAUUUGUCUAGUUAUUUUCCAUGACUGACUUGACCUGAAUUCUGAUAAAUGGAAUGCAGGCUGUGGAGUACAAAUGUGAUUUAGGAUGAGAAUGUUGAUUGAUAUUAGGUGGAUAUAAAAUUGUAAUUUGUUAAAAAAAGGUAUACCUUGGUGUAAUUACAUAUGAACUUACUACUUGAGAUAAUUGUUUUUUUGAAAAAAAAGAUACCAUAGACUGAUUUAAGUAGUAAUCAAAAUGUUACCCCCACUCUGC
rnacentral:lncRNA from 1 species